rnacentral:snRNA from 1 species
GAAUGUGAGCAUGAUCUGACUGUGCCACGUUGUCCCAUUAGUUGAUCUCCAGGGUUGAUUCAGUUGAUCUGACUGGCUAGGUGGGUGUCCCCUUCCUCCUUCACUGUUUCAUGUAUAUCCCUCCCCAAGCUGCCAGCUUCAUUACUGACAACACCUUUAACCCAAGAGAGGAGAGCCUGUUCUUCUUUGGUCAAGGGCAUCCAGGAGACACACUUGAAUUUCCCUGCUAAAACCUCCAAACAAGCUCUCAAAGGUGUGAACAUACAAUGAAAAGAAGCAAACUAUUUUCCAACUGUCCAUGUUUUAGGGCUUACCUUAAGUAU